rnacentral:piRNA from 1 species
UCUGAAGUUAGUUCAACAUCAGUUGGCUCA